GUGAGUGGCGGACGGGUGAGUAACACGUGGGUAACCUGCCCUAAAGUGGGGGAUAACAUUUGGAAACAGAUGCUAAUACCGCAUAAAACCUAACACCGCAUGGUGUAGGGUUGAAAGAUGGUUUCGGCUAUCACUUUAGGAUGGACCCGCGGUGCAUUAGUUAGUUGGUGAGGUAAAGGCUCACCAAGACCGUGAUGCAUAGCCGACCUGAGAGGGUAAUCGGCCACACUGGGACUGAGACACGGCCCAGACUCCUACGGGAGGCAGCAGUAGGGAAUCUUCCACAAUGGACGAAAGUCUGAUGGAGCAACGCCGCGUGAGUGAAGAAGGUUUUCGGAUCGUAAAACUCUGUUGUUGGAGAAGAAUGUAUCUGAUAGUAACUGAUCAGGUAGUGACGGUAU
rnacentral:rRNA from 1 species